AACCAAAGCAGAAAGUAUCAUUUUAAUUCUUCUGAAUAUUUACUGCACUUUCAGGUUGGAGAAACUGCACUUUACAAAAUCCCACAGAGGGCUGCUUGUUGAAGUCUUUAGGACUAACCAGAAGUUGAAGGAGUUAAAUUUGUCCCUUGAAGACACAAAUGAUAUAGCAAUGAACUUGGUGUGUGUGGAGCUCCAACAUCCAGAUUGUAAAGUAGAAACACUGGAGUUUCAGGCUAGUGAAGAGGCCAUGAUCUGCAGCAUGUAUCUUGCAGACGUAUUCAGGACAAACCAGAUGUUAAAAGAGUUAAAGUUGUAUCUCGACAAUAUAAGUGACAGUGUGAUGGAGACGCUGUGUAAGGGACUUCAAGACCCAGACUGUAAUGUAGAAAAACUAUGGCUUAGUGGAGAGGACAUGACUGAAUCCUGCAGCGAGCAUAUUGCAAGCGUAUUUUGGAAAAUAAAAGAGUUAUUGUUGGUGCUAAAGUAUCCAACUGGACGAGCAUUCCAAAGGGUAUGUGAGGGGUUACAACGUCCAGACUGUAAAGUAGAAGAACUCCGGCUUUUUGGAAAAUUCAUGAUUGAAUUUGGCAGCAAGGAUCUUGCAGAAGUACUCAGGGAAAACCAGAGUUUGAGAAC
rnacentral:lncRNA from 1 species